AGCGAACGCUGGCGGCAGGCCUAACACAUGCAAGUCGAACGGAUCCUUCGGGAUUAGUGGCGGACGGGUGAGUAACACGUGGGAACGUGCCCUUUGGUUCGGAACAACUCAGGGAAACUUGAGCUAAUACCGGAUGUGCCCUUCGGGGGAAAGAUUUAUCGCCAUUGGAGCGGCCCGCGUCUGAUUAGCUAGUUGGUGAGGUAAAGGCUCACCAAGGCGACGAUCAGUAGCUGGUCUGAGAGGAUGAUCAGCCACAUUGGGACUGAGACACGGCCCAAACUCCUACGGGAGGCAGCAGUGGGGAAUCUUGCGCAAUGGGCGAAAGCCUGACGCAGCCAUGCCGCGUGAAUGAUGAAGGUCUUAGGAUUGUAAAAUUCUUUCACCGGGGACGAUAAUGACGGUACCCGGAGAAGAGGCCCCGGCUAACUUCGUGCCAGCCGCCGCGGUAAAAC
rnacentral:rRNA from 1 species